UCAAGAAAAAAUUGACCAUAGUGGUAAUGUUUUAUAUUUGUCCUCUGUGGACUGGAAUGAAAUUAUCAAACCACUUAAUAUUCAGACACUUGGUAACUAUCAAAUAAUUCUUUCAGUUACUGCCUAUUUCACAUUCACUGUCCUGGUUUGGGCACAGCCUUUAUCCUUGCAGAUUUUUCAGUGAAUUUCAAAGAUGAAGAGUGUUCAGCUCUAUAAUCUCUCCCCUUCAUUACAGAAAACUCUUAGAAAUUUCCCUACUUGUUCCGUUCAGCCUCUCUCAGAGGUGAUCUGAGGUGUGAAGGAUCACUGCUAGGAAUAAAAGGACAUUCUCAGCACUCAUUAAAUAUUUCUGGUCCUUUUGCUGUGAUUCCCAGGCAUGGUCAUGUACAUACCAAUCUUUUAGACUGAAGAUGGUGGCAGGCUUCCAGUGGAAAUAGUGCCAAAGGAAGAACAGCAGCCCAGAGGAGACUUCACACUUUACAGCAACAUUUAAAGCAUUCUGAAUCUGAUUAGGGGAUAUGGCUGAAAGUCACAUCGCUGCCUGGUCCUACGUGGCAUUUUUAAAAAGCUGUCAGAGCAAAAAAUGUAAUACUGGAACUAAAGCCCCUAAGCAAUUCCAGCUGCAGUGCAGUACUCCGACGUCGUGUCAGUCAGCAAGCAAACACCUACUGCAACGGCUGGAUUCACAAGUGCCAUAAGCCACCUUUGGAUCAAAAGUGCCAUUCAAUUUUUCUCACUUUAAAUCUCUUUCAUAAAUUCCUCUAGAUUUACUUUGAGAUCAGAAUUUGACUUACAGGCAUUAUCUCUGACAAACGAAGGGGAAAGGGUGAAUGUGCAGCACUGUGGCAUCAGGAGAAAAAAAAAAGGAGAUUGCAGGUGUCCUGCUUUUUUCAGAUGUAAUAGAAGUAGCGAAUGAAUAAACCAACCUUCUGUCAGAAAAAAGCAUACAAAGGUAAUGAGUCCUUAAGAAGAAUGCCUUCUCUGUGUAUAAUAUAAAGCGUAUUUCACUGCUCACAGCUAUAUAUGCACACAUACCCACACAGAGACAUGGGUACAUAAAUAUUCAAAACAGCUGCAAAUUUGACUUAAAAGGUAGUCCAUAUCAGCUCACUACGUUUUCAUUAUGAAAUACUCUGAUGUAAGAGAUCUUCAUGAAAAACCUUUCAAGUCCCCUUUUCCUAGUUUCCAUAUUACUCUAGGUAAGGAAGAGAAUGAUGGAUUUAGUAAAGGUGCAGCACUCAGGAGUGCUGGUAAGAGAUCUCACUUUUCUUUUUUGGCUUGGAAUCACUAGCUUUGUCUCAGUUUGGCAAAAGAUUAUAUCCUUCAUGACAUAAUCCAUGUCAGUAUCCUCUGUUUCCAGCCCCAGUGUUACACUUCCAUUUGUCCUUUUAUUUUUUUUCUCCUUUUAAUUAAAUGAAUAUAAAAUAUAGCAUCUAACAAUAAAAAUGAAUAAAAAAAAGCACAGGGAUCAGAUCCAGUUAACAGAACCCAUCACUGUGGGUUCAGAAUCAAGGCCGGGCAAGGAAACCUGUCCCCUGAGGAGAAGAUAAUUUCCCUGCCAUCACGUUAAGGUUAUUGCAAUGCCAGCAUCCCUAAAUAGCCAUGCGCUGCGUCUUACCACCCCUUUGUCUCUCUCCCCAUCUUUUUGGUUGGAUUUGUAUUGCUGCCAAGUGCAGGACUGGACUGUGCAGAGACUCAAUAUUUGGUAGAAGUCCUUUAGAGAGCUUAUUUUUCAAAAUAAAUAUAUAGAUGUGAAAUGGUAAUAAAGUUCUUUUAAUUAACACGGACCGUACCCUCAGGCUUUGCCUGUAGGUUCAGAGCACUGUCUGUAGUGAGCCCAUUGCACUGACAGGUGGUCUGGGGCUGGGAGAAGCAGAAAUCUCCCAGAGGAACCUGUCAGUCGACAUGGAUCGGUGUUGAUUCCUCCUGUUAGGUAAUUGCUCAAGUAGAAGAGUCUCCAAAUUGUUCAGAAUUCAAGAAGAACAGAUCAAAUAAAAGCCUCUGCUCCUGCAGUGCUGCUAUUUUUAAGAUGAUUUAAACCUUAAAAAAAAAAAGAAGGGUGCUGUGAAAAAGAGUAUUGCAAUUAUCAAGAUGAUCACCGUCACUGGAAGUUCAACACUGAGGUCAGACACUUCUUCACAAAGCAGCUGCACUGCAUGGUCUGACUGCUGCUGUCUCGCCUGCAAAUGAUGGGGAGGCUGCACAGCCAAUGCUGCAAAAGCACACACACUACUGGUGCCAAAGCUCUGCUCGCAAGCUAAACUGCUGCUCUCUGCCUGCUAAAAAGGAAAAGGAAAUGUAGUUACACAAAAAGGAGUUUGAGAAAUGACAAAUUUUGCUACUUAUUUCUGCACUGGAGUUACCAUCAUCUGUAGCCAUUACGUGCAUUUGACUAACCCCCAGAAUGCUCUCUUGCAGCCUUACAAAGAAAUCUUCAAAGAAACCCUGGGAUCAAGGCAGUGUAAGCACAAGCUUUAAGUCAGCUUUGUGUGACAGCUUCUGAUUUAUGCUUUCAAACAUACCAACAGAUCUCUGCCUCGGUUGUUAGUUACAGCUUGCAAAAUAUAUAAGGACAUGCAAUGCCUUAAUAUACCUCUACCAGAAGAAUAAAAUCUUUAUAAUACUCUAUUAAAUUAGAUGGUUUGGAGAAGAAUUACAUUUUCCUGAAGACUGGAUUUAUGAAAAGGCUAUCUAGAAGCUUCUGUUUUUAAUUAAUUGCAAACUCUGUAGCAUUCUAGACAGCUUUAAUGUCCAAAUUUGUUCUCACUAGGUCUAUUUAAUUACUACUAUUUUCAUAUAACCAUUGAUACAUACUGCUAAGAAUGAAGUGUUACAUGUCUUUUUUAUGAUACCAGGGGAACAUACAGUAAAGGCUUUACCAUUUCCCUUAUCCUUGGGGAAGUACUUAAGCAGAUAAACUAAUUAAUAAUGUGAGUUGCUAGCUUUGUAUAGCAACAACAGAAUAUUUGUUAGCUGCACAUGUAAGAAGACUUCAAAUAAAUUCAGUAAUUCUAUCUGUAGUUCAA